CAACGGGCACCUCGCUCCUCUGUUACUGGUUGUUAGAAAGGAUGAAUAAAGCGCCUCGCCUGUAAACCUCUACCAUCAUUAUCAGGGAUUCAGGCCUCCGGGACCAUGCCAGAAUUAAGUGAUUCUUGAAAGAUCAUGACCAGUGCAUCCGUUAUCUUUUCAACAACCUCUCUUAGGACUCUGGGAUGUAGUCCAUCUGGUCCAGGUGCAGGCAGGAUAUCGCGACGGUCCCGAACAAAACACCCAGAGUAACGCCGAUCAAAAUUUCUCUUCCAGACAGCGACUGGAACCUCGCUUCUCUAUUAC